rnacentral:snRNA from 1 species
UCACUGAAGCAGCGCAUAUACUGAAAAUGGAAUGCUACAGAGAAGACUCACAUGAUUUUCCAGAAGGAUGACAUGCAAAUUCCUGAAGUGUUACAUAUUUUA